rnacentral:rRNA from 1 species
CCUACGGGAGGCAGCAGUGGGGAAUUUUGGACAAUGGGCGCAAGCCUGAUCCAGCAAUGCCGCGUGCAGGAUGAAGGCCUUCGGGUUGUAAACUGCUUUUGUACGGAACGAAACGGCCCUUUCUAAUACAAGGGGCUAAUGACGGUACCGUAAGAAUAAGCACCGGCUAACUACGUGCCAGCAGCCGCGGUAAUACGUAGGGUGCGAGCGUUAAUCGGAAUUACUGGGCGUAAAGCGUGCGCAGGCGGUUAUAUAAGACAGAUGUGAAAUCCCCGGGCUCAACCUGGGACCUGCAUUUGUGACUGUAUAGCUAGAGUACGGUAGAGGGGGAUGGAAUUCCGCGUGUAGCAGUGAAAUGCGUAGAUAUGCGGAGGAACACCGAUGGCGAAGGCAAUCCCCUGGACCUGUACUGACGCUCAUGCACGAAAGCGUGGGGAGCAAACAGGAUUAGAUACCCUGGUAGUCCACGCCCUAAACGAUGUCAACUGGUUGUUGGGUCUUCACUGACUCAGUAACGAAGCUAACGCGUGAAGUUGACCGCCUGGGGAGUACGGCCGCGAAGGUUGAAACCCCGAAGGAAUUGACGG